GAUGAAGAACGUAACGAAAUGCGAUACGUAAUGUGAAUUGCAGAAUUCAGUGAAUCAUCGAGUCUUUGAACGCACAUUGCGCCCUCUGGUAUUCCGGAGGGCAUGCCUGUCCGAGCGUCAUUGCUGCCCUCAAGCACGGCUUGUGUGUUGGGCUCCGUCCCCCGAUCCCGGGGGACGGGCCCGAAAGGCAGCGGCGGCACCGCGUCCGGUCCUCGAGCGUAUGGGGCUUUGUCACCCGCUCUGUAGGCCCGGCCGGCGCUUGCCGAUCAACCAAAUUUUUAUCCAGGUUGACCUCGGAUCAGGUAGGGAUACCCGCUGAACUUAAGCAUAUCAAUAAGCGGAGGA
rnacentral:misc_RNA from 1 species